rfam:Nematostella vectensis strain CH2 x CH6 NEMVEscaffold_680_Cont31669, whole genome shotgun sequence.
GCCGUGAUCGUAUAGUGGAUAGAACAUUGCGUUGUGGCCGCAAUAACCCAGGUUAUUGCAGACUCAGGUUAGUGCAGACUCAGUAUUGGCCGCAAUAACCCAGGUCCGAAUCCUGGUCACGGCA